CAGGAUAUAAUUUAAUCAGAAUACUGGCUUUGGGAGUCAGAAGUAGAGGUUAAAAUCCUUUUGUCCUGA
rnacentral:tRNA from 1 species